UCUUUUUGGUAUGGAAAGAUAAACACUAUGUUCUGGGAUUGGGUGUUAAUUUCAUAGUAAAUAGGAAGAAGGUGUUCAAAAGUGCAUUAAGCAGAAAAACAACAACAAUAAGAGUAAAAAAUAAAGACAUUUUCCAAAUGAAAGCGAAAAAGAGGCUACUACUAACCAACAUUAAACAAAGGAUUCACUAAAAACUAACCAAGUUUACAAAAAAAAACAAAACAAAACUACAAUUAACAAAGAAAAAGUUAUUGCUAUAAACAUUUAUGCAUUCCCCUAAUUGCAAAUAAAUAAAUACAAAAAAAGAAAACCCAAAAUAAUUUUGGAAAAAGAAAAUCAAGACAUUUUAACAAAAAAAAAAAAAGAAAA